ACUUAAUUAGUUUAAUUAGAAUAAUGAUUUGUGAUAUCAUAGGUAUUAAAAUGUAAAUAUUAGGUU
rnacentral:tRNA from 2 species